rnacentral:rRNA from 1 species
GAUGAACGCUGGCGGCGUGCUUAACACAUGCAAGUCGAACGAUGAACCGGGUGCUUGCACUCGGGGAUUAGUGGCGAACGGGUGAGUAACACGUGAGCAACCUGCCCCUGACUCUGGGAUAAGCGCUGGAAACGGCGUCUAAUACUGGAUAUGUCCCGUCACCGCAUGGUGUGCGGGUGGAAAGAUUUUUCGGUUGGGGAUGGGCUCGCGGCCUAUCAGCUUGUUGGUGGGGGAAUGGCUCACCAAGGCGUCGACGGGUAGCCGGCCUGCGAGGGUGACCGGCCACACUGGGACUGAGACACGGCCCAGACUCCUACGGGAGGCAGCAGUGGGGAAUAUUGCACAAUGGGCGGAAGCCUGAUGCAGCAACGCCGCGUGAGGGAUGAAGGUCUUCGGAUUGUAAACCUCUUUCAGUAGGGACGAAGCGAAAGUGACGGUACCUAAAGAAGAAGCACCGGCUAACUUCGUGCCAGCAGCCGCGGUAA